rnacentral:piRNA from 1 species
GAGAUGCCUUCGACUUUAAUGUCUCC